AACGAACGCUGGCGGCAUGCCUAACACAUGCAAGUCGAACGAUCCCUUCGGGGAUAGUGGCGCACGGGUGCGUAACGCGUGGGAACCUGCCCUUAGGUUCGGAAUAACUCAGAGAAAUUUGAGCUAAUACCGGAUAAUGUCUUCGGACCAAAGAUUUAUCGCCUUUGGAUGGGCCCGCGUUGGAUUAGCUAGUUGGUGGGGUAAAGGCCUACCAAGGCGACGAUCCAUAGCUGGUCUGAGAGGAUGAUCAGCCACACUGGGACUGAGACACGGCCCAGACUCCUACGGGAGGCAGCAGUGGGGAAUAUUGGACAGUGGGCGAAAGCCUGAUCCAGCAAUGCCGCGUGAGUGAUGAAGGCCUUAGGGUUGUAAAGCUCUUUUACCCGGGAUGAUAAUGACAGUACCGGGAGAAUAAGCCCCGGCUAACUCCGUG
rnacentral:rRNA from 1 species